rfam:Oryza glumipatula chromosome 12, whole genome shotgun sequence.
AAAAAGGCAAACCGUGGAUUCUCGUACCAACGUUUGACUGUCCAUCUUAUAUGAAAUUUUUUAUAAUUAGUAUUUUCAUUGUUGUUAGAUGAUAAAACAUGAUUAAUACUUUAUGCGUGACUUAUCUUUUUAAUUUUUUUCAUAAUUUUUUCAAAUAAAACGGACGGUCAAACGUUGGACACGGAAACCAGGGUUUGUCUUUUU